CUGGCCCCCUGGACAGUGUACGUAGAGAGGGUCUGUAGCCCCCAGCAACUGAAAAACCAGUGGCACAGAGGGAGAUGAGGAAAUGAGGAGCUUUGGGAAAACUUGGCUUUCAAAAAAAUAUACUGAGGAUGAUUUAAUGCAGAAAUAUCUUGAAAGAAAAGAUGAAAGGACGUAUUACUUCUUUUGUUCACUCAAGCCAAUUAAAUCAACAAAUAUUUACUGAACACCUACCAUGUAUGAGUCAUUGAGAAAUAUCCUAGGAAUACAGUCAUGAAAAUUGAAUGGCCCAUUAGAUCAUGGUGGUGUAGCCUAGGGCACUGAUUAACAUUGGC
rnacentral:lncRNA from 10 species